rfam:Lupinus angustifolius cultivar Tanjil contig_12198, whole genome shotgun sequence.
AACCCAUGAUUAGGACAUUUCCUCGGUAACACCUGGAAACACUCCCAUGCCUCAUAAAAAGCCUCCUCAACACAUUGUCUGAAUGUACAGAUUUGAAACUUAGCAU